AUUUGUCACGUGACAGGCGCAAAUGAACGAACCUGCAAGAUGCGGGACGGUUGAUUCUGCUCUGGCGUUUGGAGGUGCAAAAACACACAAAAUAACUGCCAACAUCAUGCCUAAAAUUAGGGAGAGCUGUUCAAGCGGGGUCCCACACACAGAGAGCCUGAGGCGUGGGAGGGGCAGAGGCGGCCUCAUCUCUCCCAGCAUAUGGCCGGCUAAACGCUCCUCUGACCUGAACUGACCUCGGAUUAGAACACACAGACUCAAACCUCCAGCCUCCAGC
rnacentral:lncRNA from 1 species